rnacentral:snoRNA from 2 species
GCCCCGUUCCCUAUCUGGGCCUGACGAGAAGUUAUAAAACGCGUGAAGGCUCACAGCCGAACGGGGUACAUGA